UAAUACGGAGGGAGCGAGCGUUAAUCGGAAUUACUGGGCGUAAAGCGCGCGUAGGCGGCUUUGUAAGUCGGAUGUGAAAGCCCUGGGCUCAACCUGGGAAUGGCAUUCGAAACUGCAUGGCUAGAGUAUGGUAGAGGGAAGUGGAAUUUCCGGUGUAGCGGUGAAAUGCGUAGAUAUCGGAAGGAACACCAGUGGCGAAGGCGACUUCCUGGGCCAAUACUGACGCUGAGGCGCGAAAGCGUGGGUAGCAAACAGGAUUAGAUACCCUGGUAGUCCACGCCGUAAACGAUGAGAACUCAGUGAUGCAUUGACUUGUGGUCAAUGCAGUGCUGCAGGGAAGCCGUUAAGUUUGCCGCCUGGGAAGUACGUACGCAAGUAUG
rnacentral:rRNA from 1 species